rnacentral:rRNA from 1 species
GAUGAACGCUGGCGGCGUGCCUAACACAUGCAAGUCGAACGAAGCACUUUACCUGAUUCUCCGGAUGAAAGUUUGGUGACUGAGUGGCGGACGGGUGAGUAACGCGUGGGUAAGCUGCCCUGUACAGGGGGAUAACAGCUGGAAACGGCUGCUAAUACUGCAUAAGCGUACGAGGAGACAUCUCUUUGUGUGAAAAACUCCGGAGGCACAGGAUGGGCCCGCGUCUGAUUAGGUGGUUGGCAGGGUAACGGCCUACCAAGGCAACGAGCAGUAGCCGGUCUGGGAGGAUGAGCCACCACGGUAGAGCUAAGACGCGGUCCAAACUCCUAGGGGAAGCAGCAGUGAGGAAUAUUGCACGGUGGAGGGAACCCUGAUGCAACAACGCCGCGUGAAAGAAGGAGUAUGUGGGGAAGUAAAGCUCUAUCAGCAAAGAACAUAAUGACGGUACCUAAGGAAGAAGCUCCGGCUAACUACGUG